rnacentral:rRNA from 1 species
UACAGAGGGUGCUAGCGUUGUUCGGAAUCAUUGGGCGUAAAGGGCUCGUAGGUGGCCAACUAAGUCAGACGUGAAAUCCCUCGGCUUAACCGGGGAACUGCGUCUGAUACUGGAUGGCUAGAGAUUGGGAGAGGGAUGCGGAAUUCCAGGUGUAGCGGUGAAAUGCGUAGAUAUCUGGAGGAACACCGGUGGCGAAGGCGGCAUCCUGGACCAACACUGACGCUGAGGAGCGAAAGCCAGGGGAGCAAACGGG